CGUUUUAGGCGGGAAAUGAAAUCGACGAAAAUUACCCCCACCUAUUGAAUCCCAAAAAUUAAUCCCCCCGCCUCUUCUACUUAGCAAGAAAAAGCCCCAGGUCCCUUAUCUUCAUCUUCAGUAUCAUCAAACAUCUCGUUCAUCCUCUGCAUUAUUUCCAUCGUUCUUCCCUCUCCUCACUGAUCAAUACCCAAAAAACCCUAAUAUCAUAACCACUCCUAUUUUCUUGCACAACAAAAUCCUAAAACAUCACCAAAUACUAAAUUCCACAAAAUCGUUGUGACCAUUUUAGCUAGGGCUUUUUUCAAGAACGAAAACACUCUCGCAUCUCUCUUAGCUCUGAAACAUUGGACGAUUCACCUUGCUUCGCCUUUGGUCACUUCUCCUCCGGCGACGUCAGGCCUUCCUCGUUACAAAUCGACCAACAAUAUCGUGGUGAAGCUUGGCUGCCAAGCUGUGACCUUACGCUGAGGUAGAAGACUUCACGGUAGGUUUUCCUCUAGCGUUUCCCCCAAACCUAAUUUCCAGUCUUUCAUCCCCUUUUACUCCACCGAUCGUUCGAUUGGCAAUGAUUCUUGAAUCUUACGACCGUAUGACCCUCUUCUUCCUCACGUCGUAUUCUAUCCUAUUGUUCUUGCUUUUCAUCUCCUUCUCACUAUAAAUAAUUGCAGGUUCUAUCUAAGAAAUCAAUUUUAGGGGGUAUUAGGGUUGGAAUUUUCUAAUUUAAUGGUUUGUUGUUUUCAAAAUUAGGAUUAAUCGAUGCUGGUGGUUUGGUCGCACGCCUUCUUCACUGUGGGAUAGAGAUCCUCUCCCAUUGUUUCGGCUAAGGUACAUUUCAUUGAUUUCUCGAUCAUAUGUCUACUUCAAUAUCUCACACCUUUGUGUCUCCGUGUUUGCAAUUGCAGGUAAACAAAGGGUCUGUUCCCCCAUCGUUCACACUUAAAGAUCAAGACUGUACAGUCCGAUAAAAACCCCUCUCUUCCAAUUUCUACGUGAAUGUCGGUAUUCGUAUCCCACUCUGCAAUAACUUCUACUCGCACUCUCUGUUCUUCUUUGAGGAGUUUCAGUUUCGUUUGCUUUCUCUCUAUCCAGUUCGUUCAUCGUCCUGGCUUUAUCAUCGCUUCUAACAUCUCGGAUUUCAUGCCGCGUAACCAGGUAUUUCAUCAAUAACACCUCUGUUUACUUAACUUUUUGUUACUAAUUGGUUUUAUUUUUUAUAUUCGAGGGUGGGCAAGGGCUUAUGAGAAAAUUUAUUGGGCUUUAAUCGAUUAAUCAUAUAUGAGAAGUAUGUUUCAUAUUGUUUUUACUCGAUGAUUGGGCUAUUGUCUGUACAAUGUCAUGUAAUUUGGCUUCAUCGCUACUAAUAAUUGGCUAAGUUUGAUUUUGUCCAGAAAAGAGGUGGUCGACCAGACCAGAGGUGGAUUCAGAAGCCAAGCAGUAGCAAAAUAGAUGAAACGUUUGAUGUUGCAGAAGUUAAGUCUGCAGCUUCUAUUGAGGUUAUCACAAAUGGAGUUAAUAGGCUUGCUAUUGCUGAAAACAGUGCACGAUCCUCGGAUCCUUUCGUACCGAGAUAAUGGCUUUGAUGGGAGCGCGUACUAUGACAUUCCGAGAGUUUAGAGCUUGCGGAGCGCCAGAUUAUCACGGGGCUAGGGACCCCAUCGCUAGCAGCAGGUGGUUGGCCGAUGUUGCCAACGCAUUCCGUACGAGUCGGUGUCCCGAGGGGGACAAGGUCAGACUCGCCUACUAUCUUCUGAAGGACAGAGCGAGGGAUUGGUGGGAGGAGGUUCGUCAUGCCAUUGGUGAUGAUGCCGUGUUGGACGCGAUGACCUAGAGCGAUUUGUCGGCCAGGUUCAGGGCUGAGUUUUCACCGAUUAUUGAAGUGCAGCAGCUGGCACGGGAGUUUUAGGAUUUGACGCAAAAUAUUGAGACUGUGGCGGAGAUCACUGCCAAGUUUAGGGAGAGGGCCCUUCUCGUUCCGUAGUAUGUCGCAGACGAGGAGAUGAAGAAGGCCCGAUAUCACGAGAUGUUGUGGGAUGACAUCAGGGAGUUCGUGAGCAGGUCUGGCUAUAAGACGCUAGAAGAUAUGAUUUCUCGGGCUAGAGAAAGGGAGAUUGAUUUGGAAUAGAUCCAGAAGAGGAAGCCGAAUGAGGUUCAGGUAGCCACAGGUUCGGGCAAAAGGCCCAAGGGGUCAGAUUUGAGAUCGAGGGAGUACCAGAGCUGUGGCCGAUGUGGGAGGUCCGGCAGGACACACGAGGGUGCGUGUAGGAGUGGUAAUGGUGGAGAUUCAGGUUGCUUCAAGUGCGGCCGGACUGGUCAUCUUAGCAGGGAUUAUACUGCUACCACCACAUAGGGAUCAUACUUGAUAUGUAUCCACUGCAGUCAGCAGGGCCACAAGAAGGCCCAGUGCCCCAGUUUGUUUUCGGCAGGAUGGGUGAUAGCACCUGCCCCUGCAGCUCUGAGGAUCACAGAUGGCCGUCAAGGCCGAGCAGAGGCGCCUGCGAUAGGAGGUAUGGCUUUUUAGAUGACUACCUUGGAGGUGCGAGCAACACGGGAUGUAGCAGGUACGCGACUGUCGCUUUUUGUUUACUUCAUUCAUGGUUAUAUUGUUAUGGUUCUGCAUCGUUGGUGGUGUAAGUAUUUUAGAAUUGAGUGGCUUGCUUGUGAUUUAGUUAUGCCAUCUGCAUGCCUUUGAUAACAAAAUGGUAGUUAGGGGUCAUGCCUUAUGGAAGCAGGUUACUUAGGAUGCAGUAACUAUAGCAUGCUUGUGUGGAACUCAGUAGUGACCCGCUGGAUUUAGAAAGGUGUUAUUGAGUGAUGGAUCAGUUAGAUCCCUAGCUAUGGCAAGCUUGGUUCUUCCGUAGAUUGAUUGCGGUAUAGCAGAGAAGAUGGGGAAUUCUUCUCAUGCAUUGAGCAGUGAGGUAUCAGCAGGAUCAAAGUGGGGGAGAACCCUCCGAGUGUACAAGGGUAUGAGCACGCGAAUCCAGGAAGAAUACACGACCUCUGAGAAGGAAAAGAAGUAGCACAACGAUUGAUGGAUUGAGGAGUUCAGUGUUGGGAGUUUCAGAAACUUCCCAAUAGUUAACUCAAGUAACUGAGAUGGUUAGUAGUGUUGGAAUAGUGUCUAAGGCUGCAACUAUAUUUGGCAAGUAUUUGACCCGAUUGUGCAUGGUCCUUUUGGGUUGCCUUCACCAUAGCAACUUGACAGGAUGAUUUAUAAUGAGAGAAGAAAUAUUAUUAAUAUAUUAUAAUAUAAAGAAUAAUAAUAUUGUUAUUUGAUUAAUAUAAGUCAUAAAUUAAUUAGGAAUUAAUUUGGUGACUUAAAGUGAUUAAUUGAAUAAAGGGGCAUAAACUCUCAAUUGUAUGAUAGUUUUACUUUGGGCUAUGAUUCCUUAUGAAUAAGGGAGUGGACGAUUUUAGGGUUAGGAAAGGCCUAGAAAUCGUCCAAGGCUUAUCAAUAAGGAGAUUUGAUUGCUUAGGGCCUAAGUUAUCCAAUUAGGGUUUAAGGGUGAAACCCUAGGAGGCUUACUUGUAUAAAUAGACCCUUAUGGCUAUGAAAAUGGGCACCCUUGUGAUUAAAGAAACCCUGGCCGACUUUUCUUACCCUCCCCUCUCUCUCUAAUCAUCCUCUUUCUAAGUUGGUGUUUGUAAGCCAUUAGAGGAGUGACAUUUGUGACUCUAAGCUCCAAGGAACAGAAGAUUGAAGCAAGCAAUUCAAGGUAAUGUUUCAGAUCUGAUUUCAUGUGUUAUGAUGUGAAUGUUUUCAUUAGAUCUAUCAAUCAAAGUCUUGGAUACAUUGCAUGUUCAAUUAGAGAAACCUAGAUCCAAGCAUUAGGGUUUGUAUGUGCACAUAGGAAUGUUCUUAUGGCUCAAAUCCAUCNUCAUACUAAUUUAAACAUCAUCAGAUUUGUUUCUAUAAGCAUGUGUAACUAUUAACUCGAGAGUAACAACACAGUAUACUACUUGUCUUCAUUUUCAGAUAAGGUGCAAUGGCGUUGAUGUUUAAGGUAAUAUCCAAUAUUUUUCCUAUUUUUAAAAUUACUAAAUUACCAAUAUCACUUAUCAGUGUGCAUUCUAUUCAUUACCUAUGUUAAUGUUACAGGAUCCAACAAAGAUUUCAGCGUAUCGUGACAAAAGGUUUCCAGGAACACAAUAAGAAUAUGAACACGCACUCCAAAAUUCAACAACCGUAUACAUUGGCAACAUGUCUUUCUACACUACUGAAGAAAAAAAUGGGAUAAACCUUGUUUAAGAGAUUUAUCAAUUUCUGAAUCUAAGAGAAAAAUUAAUAUUAGAUCUGGAGGCUGAUGAAGUUAAAGCAAAGAAGAACAAGGAAAGUUUUUUUUGGAGAUUGUAAUAUGGCCUUAUGAUGUCUUCCAAACAGAACCGAGGCAGUUAGCCCAAAAGGGUAACACAGGCUCAUGUAACCCACAACUUCAUCCAACUCAUGCAAGUGGUGCACUUGGAUUCAUGGGAUCUAUUAAUUGACCUACUUAAAGCUCAUUGCAUACCUCCCAGAGACUCGUUUAUUAUCUCUAAAUAUGAUAGACAAACUAAACUUCAAGUCAAGAAACCUGCACAAAAAAGUGAACUUAUUUUUAUCACAGAUUAACACAUAAAACCCAAUAAACAAAAAGAGAAUCAGACCAUAUAAAUUAGAUAUGAAAUAGAACAGAUAAUGCUCAUUAGAGAAAAGGAAGCAAAAGAGAACAUUUCAAUGAAUCUAAAACCUAUUUCCACUAACAAUUAAUCUUAAAAAAUGAGAAGCUGGAGAGAGAACUAGCACAUACCAAAGAGAAUUUUCAACUGGGGAAGGAGAAAAAGAAAAAACAGAAAAAAAAAAAAAAAACCCUAACCAACCUUGGUCGUUGAGAUGAUGGUGGAGCUUUUCCCUUGACGCAAAACCCUCCAUGGUAUCAAGCUCAAUCUCUGUAGCCCUACGAUCUGCCAUGUCCAAAUCUCUCUCAUCCUCCAGAGAAUCGUCCAACCCAACCGACCUUCAUAGCCAUUUCUAUUGAUUUCCAACUUGAUAUCAUAAAUUAUGUUUCGACAUGAGAGUGUGGGGAGGUUUCAAGAAGAACAGAGCAGAAGCAACAACGCAAAAGAUAACAUUAGGUAUCGAGGGAUAAUUGAGUUUGAUUAAAAAGGUUAUAAAACUCGUAAUAAAGGAAGACAAACCUCUGGAACAAAUAAAGAAGUAGAAUGUUGAUGGUGAUUGACCAUGGAGUUUCGAGACCUUGACUUUAAUGGAGCUACUGUUCUACUUGAUAUGGAAAUCACUCUAAACUGUACCCCUUUGAUCAAUUUCAUGGCCUGGUGACCAAAAAACCUUCGAUUUCACUAAGAACCGGAACCCUAGUUCCAACAAUAGUCAAUUUUUGGUAUUUGAUUGAGAGAGAGAGAGAGAGAGACAAACGAUUGAAAGAAGGGAGAGGAGAGCAUGGCGGGGUUUUUAAUUUUUUCAGAAUUUCAUUUCCCCCUUUCCCCCACUAUUAAAGGAUGGAACGCGCGUUCCAUUAAAAAAUAUAAAGCGACAUCCUUAGACGACGCGCAUUUUAUUAUAGGUGCCCUCCGUGUUUUUUUUAGACACUAAUUUAAGGGCGCGCAAUAAUGCGUGUCUUCUAUCCUUAAAUUUUUUGAAGAGAUGACAUUUUUCUAAUGUCACUCUCCUUUGCGUAACAUAGAUCAAUGAGCGUCGUAUUUUGCGCGUCGUAAAAGGCCUUUUUUCUUGUAGUGGGCUUUUUUCAAGAACGAAAACACUCUUGCAUCUCUCUUAGCUCUGAAACAAUGGACGAUUCACCUUGCUUCGCCUUUGGUCACUUCUCCUCCGGCGACGUCAGGCCUUCCUCAUUACAAAUCGACCAACAAUAUCGUGGUGAAGCUUGGCUGCCAAGCUGUGACCUUACGCUGAGGUAGAAGACUUCACGGUAGGUUUUCCUCUGGCGUUUCCCCCAAACCUAAUUUCCAGUCUUUCAUCCC
rnacentral:lncRNA from 1 species